UACGUAGGGGGCGAGCGUUGUCCGGAAUCAUUGGGCGUAAAGAGCUCGUAGGCGGCCUGUCGCGUCUGCUGUGAAAUCCCGGGGCUUAACCCCGGGCGUGCAGUGGAUACGGGCUGGCUGGAGGCAGGCAGGGGAGAACGGAAUUCCCGGUGUAGCGGUGACAUGCGCAGAUAUCGGGAGGAACACCAGUGGCGAAGGCGGCUCACUGGACCGGUAUUGACGCUGAGGUGCGAAAGCGUGGGGAGCAAACAGG
rnacentral:rRNA from 1 species